ACUAAUACCGUAUACGCCCUACGGGGGAAAAAUUUAUUGCUAUUAGAUGAGCCUAUAUUAGAUUAGCUAGUUGGUGGAGUAAUAGCCUACCAAGGCAAUGAUCUAUAGCUGAUCUGAGAGGAUGAUCAGCCACACUGGAACUGAGAUACGGUCCAGACUCCUACGGGAGGCAGCAGUGGGGAAUAUUGGACAAUGGGCGAAAGCCUGAUCCAGCCAUGCCGCAUGAGUGAAGAAGGCCUUUGGGUUGUAAAGCUCUUUUAGUGAGGAAGAUAAUGACGGUACUCACAGAAGAAGUCCUGGCUAACUCCGUGCCAGCAGCCGCGGUAAUACGGAGAGGGCUAGCGUUAUUCGGAAUUAUUGGGCGUAAAGGGCGCGUAGGCUGGUUAAUAAGUUAAAAGUGAAAUCCCGAGGCUUAACCUUGGAAUUGCUUUUAAAACUAUUAAUCUAGAGAUUGAAAGAGGAUAGAGGAAUUCCUGAUGUAGAGGUAAAAUUCGUAAAUAUUAGGAGGAACACCAGUGGCGAAGGCGUC
rnacentral:rRNA from 1 species